UAGAUAGAUUAUUGUAUUCGACUGUAUUCACGAUAUGUAUAUGUGAAUACAGUAACGUAAAUAGCGCAAUUUAUAGUCUAUUCAGUUGUUUUUAAAUGGAAAGUGAAUCAAUUAACAUAAUAGAGUCCU
rfam:Nicotiana attenuata strain TT chromosome 12, whole genome shotgun sequence.